UCUUCGGUAGUGCAGUGGUUAGCAUUCGCGCCUGAUACAUGCGAGACCCGGGUUCGAUCCCCGCCCGGGCAU
rnacentral:tRNA from 1 species